rnacentral:rRNA from 1 species
AAUUGAAUGCUAAGAGAAUGGAAGUCCAGAAAAAAACUUUUUUUAAAUUAAAAAUUGAAGUUUUUUUAAUUUGUGCAGAAACAAUUAUUUAUAUUAAAGACAAGAAGACCCUAUGAAUUUAUUAAAUUUUUAUUUAAUAUGUAAUUACUAUUAGAAAAAUUUUGGCUGGGGCGGCUAGAAAAUAUUAUGAACUUUUUAAAAAUAAAAUGAUCCAUUAUUAAUGAUUUUAUGUUAAAUACUCUAGGGAUAACAGCGUUAUAUUUUUUGAUAGAUCAUAUUGACAAAAAAGUUUGCGACCUCGAUGUUGGAUUAGGAUACUUUUUUAAUGAAGAUAUUAAAAAAAGAAGUUUGUUCAACUUUUAAUUUCCUACUUGAUCUGA